rnacentral:lncRNA from 1 species
AGCGGCUCCCGGGGUCCCCGCGGCUCCGGUGCCGCGCCGCCGUGCCCGGAGCGCCGCGGCCAGCGCUGCCCGGCGCGCGCCCGGGGACCUGGGCUCCCGCAGCCCCGCGCGCCGCCGCCGCCCCCGCGCCCCGCCACCCCCACACCCACCUGCGCCCCCGGGGGUCCCGGGCCCCCCUUCCUUUGUUCUUCCCGCUAUUUGCAUGAGGAUUAUCUAAUGACGCAGCAAGGCUCGCCACAACGUGACCGUCGCCAUUUUUCUGUUUUUAUUCUAUCUCUGCCAUGUGAUAGAUGGGGGGGAGGGGGGGAGGUUGGAAAAGGGAGAGAGACAGGAUUAAAAAAAAAAAAAAAACUUCCGGGUCUCAUGACCGGGAAGGGAGAAAAACAAAAGGGAGACGAGACACAACUCCAGGGGAAGGGUGUGUGUGCGUGUGUGCGUGUGUGCGCGCCCUCCCCGCCUCUGCUCCGGCGGCCGGCCAGGAGCAUCCUCCCACCUGGGGACCCGGAUCGCACCGCUCGCCGUGGCGGUCGCCUGUGCCGGCCCCACGCCCGCCGCCAACGCUCUGCGAAGCUGUCAGCUCGGUCCCUCCUCGUCGCCUCCACUUGCCGGUCCACCCCAGAGCUCGCGCUCGCGUUCCGGGACGGGCAGGCCGUUCUGGGUCCCGUGUUCACGGUGGCUGAAGAGACAGUGUGUUUGGGAGCUCUGCCACGUUUUUCGACUCCGAAAGGUUGGUGAAGUGUCAGCUGUGAUUUCACCCCGCUCAACCUGGAAUCUCAUUAUCCGAGGCAGCGUUCUUAAUGAGACUGGUUUGUCCUGGAGCCUAUGAACUGGGUGAGGAGGCUGGCAGUCGAGCAGGCUGAAGAGGCUGCUGAAAAGAUGUCAGCAUCUGGACAAGAAGUGCACAUUUGCAACUUUAAAAGGCUGGAGAGUAACUGAUGCAUGCAAUUAUAUUUAUGGCUCGGAGGAGGGUCUGGGUUGUCACAGAUGAGCUCAUACACAUCCGGAAUGUUGAACUUCCCUUGCAUAGCUCAACACAAAAUGCCCAUGUUCCUUUGGAUUGGGCAGUCGAAGCUGGGAUUACUGACAGUAACAUCUACAGCCCAUGUUUUGUCCUAGGCAAUAACAGUGUGGUAGUAAUUUUAAGUGUAACCAUAUCACCUUCCAGCAAGGUGGAGACGAAGUCUACUUAUAUGUAAAGUCAUGUGCUCCCUUAAGUAAAAAGCUGAGCAGAGAAAAAAGGAACAGCACUCAAACCACCCCCCCGCCCCCAAGGAAUUGCCUCCAUAGCUCUUGUCUUCUACACAUGUGCACUCAGACGUCAUUACAGAGAAGAUCAAACUUGAGUGGUCUGGGGUGCUCCAUCGCUGUUGAUUAAAGAGAGUUCUUCUGGGCACUCCAGCAAUCUUCCAUCUCUCCCGUACACAUUUGAAAAAUGGCAGUUCCUGGUGUGUGAGAGCAUAGCCUUUGGAAUUAGGUCCUAAUCUCAGCUCUGCCAGACUAUUAGCUGUAUCAUCCUGGACAGGUUACUCAUCAGCUCUGAUUCUCAGUUACUUUACUCAUAAAAGGAGCAUAAGAACACCUAGCUCAAAGAGGAGUUUUUAGGAUUGAAAUUUAAUCAAAAUUUAAUAAAAUAUAUGUAAAGCCCCUAGCACGAUACUGGGAGCUUAAUCUUCAAAAACAAGCAGCUGUAACAAUUUUUUAAUUGUAUUUUUGUUUACCCCAUACACUUCAUAGAAUUAUUCUUUUCCUUUUGGCUUCCUGCUCUUGAAAAUUCAACGAACCUACUAUUAGUGAAAGUUCUGUGAUUACGAAGAUAAGCGAGAAUAGGUCCUGCCCUCAGGAAGUUCACCCUUCAGCCUUGGAGAAAUACCUAUAGAAGCAACUGUGCUGAUGCUGGCGGGCUGAAGGCAAGCGCCUGGGCCCUCACACUUUGUGAUGACCUGCCCUAGAAGUAUUUAACUAAGAUGUAGAUUUAUUAAUACUCAGGCAAUGGCAAAGCUUAUGGAAGCAGUUAGGAAAAUGGCCUCCCCUGAGCAAGCAAACAAAAUCUCACAUUUUCACAAAAAUGAGGAUUACUUUUAAAACUCCAUCUAAUUAGUAUAAUUCUGCAGUUUUCGAAAAUUUUCUGGUCCAGUAUAACAGGCAGCCUCUUUUUUUGCAUUUGUGUGAAAAAUAUGCCAGGUUGUACCUUUGAGGUAAUGUUGGAGAAAUGUAGUUAAUAGGAAGCACUUCUGGUUGUUAAUUAAUUAGACCACUUUAAUCAAGAACUAUUUUCUGGGAAACUUAUUCCCAGCCCUGGGUCAGGUGCUAAGGAAACAAAGAUGAUGCAGAUACAGACUUUGCCCUUCAGGAACUCAUUCCACAAAUGUUUGUUGAUCACCUACUGGGGAUGCAGUGGUAAGACGUUGAGCUUACCAGAGGGAGAUUACAUACAGAUCUUCCUCAACUUACCGUGGGGUCACAUCCUGAUAAACCCAUCGUAAGUGGAAAAUAUCAUAAGUCAAUAAUGCAUUUAGUACAUCUAAACUACCAAACGUCAUAGCUUAGCCUAGCUUACCUUAAACGUGCUCAGAACACUUACAUUAGCCUAUAGUUGGGCAAAAUCAUCUAACAGAAAGACUAUUUUAUAAUAAAGUGUUGACUAGCUCAUGCAAUUGAUUGAAUGCUAUACUGAGAGUGAAAAGGAGAAUGGCCAUGUGGGUACAGAAUGGUUGUAAGUGUGUCAGUUUUUAUCGUAUGAUCUCGGGGUUGCAGGGCACUGCAGGGGCUGCCCCUGCCCAGCAUCACAAGAGACGACCAUAUGGCACAUGGCUAGCCUGGGAAAAGAUCACAAUUCAAAAUUCGAAGUCCACUGUCUACUGAAUGCCUAUCACUUUCGCACCAUUGUAAGGUUGAAAAAUUGUAGGUGGACCCAUUGUAAUUUGGGGACUGUCUGUGAGCACAUACCUUUCCAGCUCAAGAAGUGUUUGAUUGACAGGGUUUGGGCAAGGCAAAAAUAUAUAUAUUGCCCCUCCCCCAGAAUGUUUUAUGUUCCUCAAAACAAAGAGCAACUCUUGAAAGAAUAUUCUGGACGCUACAGCCCAAGUGGACCUGGGACUCUCGCUGGCGUUAGGCGGAAUUGUGAGGAGCGAAGUUGUGUUCGAUUCCCCCAGAGCCGGGCCUAUUUGAAUAGCUUUCUGGCCUCUCAGUUCCUGUCUUUCUGAACCGUUUGGCUCUCCAAAGGACUGCCGCAAUGAGGAUUCGACAACACAAACCCAAUUAUAUGAUUUCUGUGCUUAAAAACUUUCCUGGCUCCCCAGGAUCUGCGAAGCAGGGCACACGAGACCCUUUGUGAUCUUGUGCCAUCCCGCCCUCCAGCCUCAUCCCCUGAGACCCACAUGGAGGGUUGUCAGAUCUAGUUAAUAAAGAUACAAGAUGCCCAGUGAAAUUUCAGGUGAACAACAUUGUUUUGGUAUCCAUACGUCCCAAAUAUUCCAUGGGGCAUACUUACACUAAAAUGUAUUCACUGUUUAUCUGAAAUCCAAAUUUAAGCAGGCGUCCGGUAUUUUAUCUGGCAACCCUACUCAUGCCAGUCUGACUGAUUACCUUGCUGUUCCCCACCAGUCUCUUCGUGCCUCUGUGAGUGCCUGAUAACCUCUCCACCCUGCCCCUUCUCCACAUGAUAUUCUGCUGUUCUGCUUCAAAAGCCAGUCAUGGGGUUCUGGAACUCCACAGGUGUGAGCUUGGGAUCCGAGGUGCCAGGCGGGGGCCUGGCCACCUGUGUGCCUUGUUCAGUAUCUAGGCUUCUGCCCCAGUUCCUGUUCAUUGUUUUCAUUCUCCCUCCUGGAACUGGAGUUCUGCCCUGAACCCCAGUUUACUUGGCUGGGACCUACAUACGGUUUUGCAGUCUUGCCAACUCUCUCCCUGCGACUGUGGGGCUGGAUCCUUUCCCCCAGCUGCUCGUUGGGCUCCUGACCUAAACUGGAUGGAUCAUUGAAACCUGCCUCAGAUACUGCCACCUUCCUGUCUUGCGUACUACAAAAGAUGGACAAGACACUCAGGUUUGUUCACUGUGGCGUCAUCCUCCCAACGUGGCAGAGGCUGAAGGUUCCACCCGUGUUCAAAGUUACACAGAAAAACAUUCUUCUGUUGUCUUGAUUUAUGCCAUUGAUCGCAGAGAAAGAGAAGCAUAAGUCUUAAGUACUUGAAAAUGAAUAAAAUAUAUUGAACUGAAAACAGAAAAUGGGGAUUCAGAAAGCUUAGGUUACUUGUCUCACAGCUAGUGACAGAGUUGGGCUUCCAGCAAGGGCUGAGUAGGGUGCAAGGACCCAAGUUAGUCGGCGGAGGUUCCGAGAAGAGCUCUCAGCCCAGGGAGGAAUUCAAGUAUAAAUGAGGAAUUCGGAGCCCUGAUGCAGUUGCACAGGCUGGGUCAGUAGAUCAAGAUUCUGGAAAGCUGGAAGCUGAGGGUGGGCUCAGGCAGGGGCCCAGGGCUCCUAGCAGAUUCGGAGAGCAGCCCGAUCCCAGAUUCCCAGACUCCAGGAAAGCUGGGGCUGAGGUUGGAGGAGCCACUUCUGUCAUGACGGCUAGAGGACUCCAUGGCGAAACCCACAGCAGGAGCGGCCGGCAAUGAGGAGCACUUUCCUACAUGAUGAGGACAUCAGGUCCAGAGGGACGAUCUCUGUCUCUUCACAGUGAGCGGAGUCCCACAC